rnacentral:ribozyme from 1 species
CAUAAAAACUAGAAGAAGAAGAAGAAACAGAAAAAAGAAAAAAAAGAAAAGAAAA